CAAUAGCGUAUAUUAAAGUUGUUGCAGUUAGAACGCUCGUAGUCGGAUUUCGGGGCGUUCCGACCGGUCUGCCGAUGGGUAUGCACUGGCCGGAGUGUCCUUUUUGCCGGAGACCGUGCCUACUCUUAACUGAGCGGGGGCGGGAGACGGCACUUUUACUUUGAAAAAAUCAGAGUGUUUCAAGCAGGCAGCUCGCUCUUGCAUGGAUUAGCAUGGGAUAAUGAAAUAGGACUUUGGUGCUAUUUUGUUGGUUUCGAACACCGAAGUAAUGAUGAGAAGGGACAGUCAGGGGCACUCGUAUUCCGCAGAGAGAGGUGAAAUUCUCAGACCCGCGGAAGACGAACCACUGCGAAAGCAUUUGCCAGGGAUGUUUUCACUG
rnacentral:rRNA from 1 species